rnacentral:rRNA from 1 species
ACUGAGACACGNCCCAGACUCCUACGGGAGGCAGCAGUAGGGAAUCUUCCACAAUGGACGAAAGUCUGACGGAGCAACGCCGCGUGAGUGAUGAAGGUUUUCGGAUCGUAAAACUCUGUUGUUAGGGAAGAACAAGUACCGUUCGAAUAGGGCGGUACCUUGACGGUACCUAACCAGAAAGCCACGGCUAACUACGUGCCAGCAGCCGCGGUAAUACGUAGGUGGCAAGCGUUGUCCGGAAUUAUUGGGCGUAAAGCGCGCGCAGGCGGUUUCUUAAGUCUGAUGUGAAAGCCCCCGGCUCAACCGGGGAGGGUCAUUGGAAACUGGGGAACUUGAGUGCAGAAGAGGAGAGUGGAAUUCCACGUGUAGCGGUGAAAUGCGUAGAGAUGUGGAGGAACACCAGUGGCGAAGGCGACUCUCUGGUCUGUAACUGACGCUGAGGCGCGAAAGCGUGGGGAGCGAACAGGAUUAGAUACCCUGGUAGUCCACGCCGUAAACGAUGAGUGCUAAGUGUUAGAGGGUUUCCGCCCUUUAGUGCUGCAGCAAACGCAUUAAGCACUCCGCCUGGGGAGUACGGUCGCAAGACUGAAACUCAAAGGAAUUGACGGGGGCCCGCACAAGCGGUGGAGCAUGUGGUUUAAUUCGAAGCAACGCGAAGAACCUUACCAGGUCUUGACAUCCUCUGACAACCCUAGAGAUAGGGCUUCCCCUUCGGGGGCAGAGUGACAGGUGGUGCA